UACGAAGGGGGCUAGCGUUGCUCGGAAUUACUGGGCGUAUAGCGCACGUAGGCGGAUUGUUAAGUCGGGGGUGAAAUCCUGGAGCUCAACUCCAGAACUGCCUUCGAUACUGGCGAUCUCGAGUUCGGGAGAGGUGAGUGGAACUGCGAGUGUAGAGGUGAAAUUCGUAGAUAUUCGCAAGAACACCAGUGGCGAAGGCGGCUCACUGGCCCGAUACUGACGCUGAGGUGCGAAAGCGUGGGGAGCAAACAGG
rnacentral:rRNA from 1 species